AAACAGACCCAUAAGAACACCAAACAAAAAUAUAUAUUCAUAUUUUCACAUUCACAGCAACAGUUCAUUAAAACCAAAUAGCAAACAACCAAUUCAUCAGUCAAAUCUUAAACAAAUCAAUCAAAUACGAAUUUCAUUGUGAGAACUAGCCUCUGUGUUCUGAUGCCAACAGGCAGAAGAUGCAGGCAGAAGAUCCGGCUGUGAUAUGUGAUCAAUGUUUAAAACGGUCAAAAAUCAAAUACUUGUAAAUACUCAAGAACUCAAAUACAUUAACUGGAUGUUUUAUACCUUUCAGGUGUAUGAGAUCAGUUGGGUUCGAGAGAUUUUAGGGUUGUUACAGAGACAGAGAGAGAGACGGAGGCGGAGGGAGACGGAGGUGGAGAGAGACAGAGGUGGAGAGAGACAGAGGCGGAGGGAGACAGAGGCGGCGAGAGACGGAAACAGAGAGAGACGGGGGCGGAGAGAGACGGAGGCGGAGAGAGACGGAGGCGGAGAGAGACGGAGGCAGAGAGAUACGGACGCGGAGAGAGACGGGGGCGGAGAGAGACGGAGGCGGAGAGAGACGGAGCGAAUGGAGACGGAGGCGGAGAGAGACGGAGCGAAUGGAGACGGAGGCGGAGAGCGACGGAUCGAAUGGAGGUGUUGAGAAUCGAGAUUCAGUCAACACAAAUUUCACCUCUUUUU
rnacentral:sRNA from 1 species